AAGCUGCUGGAGAUUUUUAAUAUGAUGUUGAUCAAUUGAAGAUUUCUGAGUUAUCUGCUGUAAGACUUUCGUUAAGGUUAAACUAACUUUUUGGUUUUGUAAUCAUGAAUUUAAGCUUGAAUUGAUGCAUUAUUGGUUAAUUAGGUACUGUGAUUAGGUUUGUUCUACCUCAAUUUGUUUGUAGUUGUUGAUAAAUUAGGGUUGUUUGAUGUGAUUAAUAUUAGGGUUAUGUGAUUUGGGAUUUGUUGUUUGGAAAAUUAGGGUCCUUUGAUGUUAGCGCAAUUAGCGUAGAUUUGGUGGCUUGAUGACUAAGGCUGUUAAUUUCAGUUUGCUUGGCCAUUGAUAUUGCUCUUUGGUUUCUUCUUUGGCUGAAUUUUCAUGGAACUGGUGUCCAUCUUGACAAAAUCAAUGAUGGUUUUACAUUUAUUUUAAUUGAUCUUUUGACUUGGACAAAUAUGUCACUUUUCCAUUUGAGUUGUGACAAUUUAGUCGAGUUAGCAAUUUGGUGUGUACUAAAUCAACAAAACUACCAGUGCUUGACUUUACGUUAUCCAAGUCUAUGUCUUAGGUCUGUAGAUGUGAUUAAUAUUGGAUUAUUGUUGUUGUUCAUGGUUUUUGUUAUUUUCUUGUGCCUUCUUAGAUGACUAUUGACUGGAAUCUUUGAUGAAUUUGUGAGAAUUGUUGCGUGAGCUCAGCAGGGAAUGGCAAGGACACGCUUAUGAUUUGUUGUCAAAAAGUUGCAAUCACUUCUGCGAUUUACUCUGUGACAAGCUUGGUGUGCCAAAGAUCCGAGAUGAUGGUUUGUUGGUUUGCUGCAAAGGUGAUGAUGGUUUGCUGCUUUGUGGUGAACUUGUAUUACAAGUUAAACAAAUUUGAAUUUUCAAAAUUUGAAUUUUCUUUGUUUUUAAGAGACCCUUUGCCAUUGGAGGAGAAAAAAUAUAAGAACAACUUAAGGGUGUCUUAACUUCUAUUUUUUCAAAAUUUAUACUUACAUUAAUGGACAGAAACCAUAAGGGUUUCUCACCAUGGUCUUAAAAUGAGAGCCAAUAUUGUAACUUUAGCUGUCGUGCUUUUGGGAUGUAUUAUCCACUUUUUAUUUUUA